rnacentral:rRNA from 1 species
AAUCAACGCUGGCGGCGUGCCUCAGACAUGCAAGUCGAACGAUUAAGACUCUCUUCGGAGAGUGCAUAAAGUGGCGCACGGGUGAGUAACACGUAAGUAAUCUACCCUCGAGUGGGGAAUAACGUCCGGAAACGGACGCUAAUACCGCAUAAUGCAGCGGCACCGCAAGGUGACAGUUGUUAAAGAUUUAUCGCUUGGGGAGGAGCUUGCGGCAGAUUAGCAGUUGGUAAGGUAAUGGCUUACCAAGGCUACGAUCUGUAACCGGUCUAAGAGGACGGUCGGUCACACUGACACUGAAUAACGGGUCAGACUCCUACGGGAGGCAGCAGUCGGGAAUUUUGGGCAAUGGCGAAAGCCUGACCCAGCAACGCCGCGUG